GUUAUUGCUGAAGAUGAUCAGAUUCUCCAUAUUUUGGGUGGUCUUGGAUCAGAUUAUAAUCCAAUAAUGGUAUCAAUCUCAUCCAGGAUAGAGCCUUGGACAGUGAAAGAAGUCUGCGCACUUUUACUCAGUUUUGAAU